rnacentral:rRNA from 1 species
UACGUAGGGGGCUAGCGUUGUCCGGAAUCAUUGGGCGUAAAGAGCGUGUAGGCGGCCCGGUAAGUCCGCUGUGAAAGUCGGGGGCUCAACCCUCGAAUGCCGGUGGAUACUGUCGGGCUAGAGUGCGGAAGAGGCGAGUGGAAUUCCUGGUGUAGCGGUGAAAUGCGCAGAUAUCAGGAGGAACACCGGUGGCGAAGGCGGCUACCUGGACAGAAACUGACGCUGGAGGCGCGAAAGCUAGGGGAGCAAACAGG